UACGUAGGGUGCAAGCGUUGUCCGGAAUUAUUGGGCGUAAAGAGCUCGUAGGCGGUCUGUCGCGUCGGAUGUGAAAAUCCAGGGCUCAACCCUGGACCUGCAUUCGAUACGGGCAGACUAGAGUUCGGUAGGGGAGACUGGAAUUCCUGGUGUAGCGGUGAAAUGCGCAGAUAUCAGGAGGAACACCCGUGGCUAAGGCGGCUCUCUAGUACGGUACUGACGCUGAGACGCGAAAGCGUGGGGAGCGAACAGG
rnacentral:rRNA from 1 species